rnacentral:misc_RNA from 1 species
GGACACAUGCAUGUCACCCCUAUCAACGGUCUACAUCGUCUUAACUUUUUUAUGUGAUCACAUGCACCAUUAGAUCUUAAACCCCGAGCUAACCAUGGUUAAAGAUUUUGGUUACACAACUUUACCAUGGUUAGCUCAGCUGCUUCCCUGAGUUAAACUCAAAGCGCAAGUGUGUGUGUUUCUAAGAGAGAGAUAGGAGAGAUGAGCAAAGAAUCUGUACAUGGUCUCUCUCUGUAGCUUCAUUUCCUAUCAUUGGGUAUUAACAUCAUUGGAUUUUGAUUUGGUUGGCAAUUUCCAUUUAUGGAAGUCUCAGAUUCUUAGAUCUGUGUUCUUUGAUCUGUAUUUUAUCAACAUUUUUCCUUUUUUUUUUUCAAUUUCUGUAAUCAUCACUUUUUGAUUCAAACAUGAGCACUCAUAACCCAGCAGUGCAUUUUCCUUCACUUUCUUGGGAAAAUUUGACUUUUUUUUCUCUCUCGUCUCAUUUCUAAUAAUACCCAUUAGUUAUUUUUGCAUCUCCAGAUCUACUAUCUCGGCGUUUUACUUCUUAUUCAAGAUCUUGCUAAAAUUUUACAGUUUUAGAUCUGCGUUGUUUUCUGUAUCAGUAUCUUUCUAUUUUUUAUUUUCUAGAUUGAAUGUGUAUCGUCCCUUUUUGGUUAGGAGGAGGAAAAAAGAAUGAAUUAUUUCCCAGACGAGGUAUUAGAGCAUGUGUUCGAUUUUGUAACAUCAAGCAGAGACCGCAACGCGUUGUCUCAGGUUUGUAAAUCAUGGUACAGGAUCGAAAGCUCUAGCAGGCAGAAGGUGUUUAUAGGAAAUUGUUAUGCGAUCAGUCCAGAGAGAGUGAUUGAGAGGUUUCCUGCUCUAAAGUCUAUUGCUUUGAAGGGAAAACCUCAUUUCGCUGACUUCAACCUGGUCCCGCAUGAAUGGGGAGGCUUCGUUUACCCUUGGAUCGAAGCUUUCGCCCGGAACAGGGUCGGCUUGGAGGAGCUCCGGCUAAAGAGGAUGGUGGUUUCCGAUGACAGCUUGGAGUUGCUCUCAAGGUCUUUUGCCAAUUUUAAGUCUUUGGUUCUUGUUAGUUGUGAAGGGUUCACCACUGAUGGGCUAGCUGCUAUUGCUGCUAAUUGUAGGUUUCUUAGAGAGCUGGACCUGCAAGAAAAUGAAGUUGAGGAUCAUAGAGGCCAUUGGCUUAGUUGUUUCCAUGACAGCCAUACAUCUCUUGUAUCACUUAAUUUUGCUUGCCUCAAAGGAGAUAUUAAUUUAGGAGUUCUUGAGAGACUUGUAGCAAGAUCUCCAAAUCUCAGGAGUUUGAGGUUAAACCGUGCAGUUCCUCUUGAUACACUCCAAAAAAUAUUGAUGCAGUCGCCUAAUUUAGUGGACUUGGGUGUAGGAUCUUAUGUACAUGAUCCAGAUUCUGAAACCUACGAUAAAUUAGUGACUGCCAUUGAAAAGUGUAAAUCAGUCAGGAGUUUGUCAGGGUUUUUGGACGUUGCUCCUCACUGCCUACCAGCUUUUCACUCGAUUUGCCCAAACCUGACCUCCUUGAAUCUAAGUUAUGCUCCAGGAAUUCAAGGUGGUGAGCUUACAAAGCUAAUUCGCCACUGUAGGAAACUCCAGCGCUUAUGGGUAUGGCCUCAUAACUAACUUUUAGGAAACUCAAUGUUUUGCUUAUUUUUCAUCACAUAUGUAACAAUAUCUUUCACAAUGUUUGCAGAUACUAGACUGUAUUGGAGAUAAAGGACUAGAAGUUGUGGCAUCCACUUGUAAGGAUUUGCAGGAACUGAGGGUUUUCCCUUCGGAUCCCUACAUAGGACAUGCAGCAGUCACAGAAGAAGGCUUGGUUGCCAUUUCUAGUGGUUGUCCUAAGCUUCAUUCAAUUUUAUACUUCUGUCAGCAGAUGACAAAUGCAGCCCUCAUAACAGUGGCCAAGAACUGCCCCAAUUUUAUCCGCUUUAGGUUGUGCAUCCUGGAUCCCACAAAACCAGAUGCAGUGACUCAGCAGCCAUUGGAUGAAGGUUUUGGGGCUAUUGUUCAUUCAUGUAGGGGUCUCAGGCGGCUAUCACUUACUGGUCUCCUGACUGACCAAGUUUUCCUUUACAUUGGGAUGUAUGCUGAGCAACUUGAAAUGCUUUCAAUUGCAUUUGCUGGGGAUAGUGACAAGGGAAUGCAGUAUGUGUUAAAUGGUUGCAAAAGACUCCGCAAAUUAGAGAUCAGGGACAGUCCUUUCGGCAAUGGAGCACUUCUGAUGGACGUGGGAAAGUAUGAAGCAAUGCGAUCCCUUUGGAUGUCGUCCUGUGAAGUUACUCUUGGAGGCUGCAAGACCCUUGCAAAGAAGAUGCCACGGCUCAAUGUGGAGAUCAUGAACGAAAAUGAGCAGACAGAUUUUAUUUUUGAUGAUGCACAGAAAGUGGACAAGAUGUACCUAUAUCGGACAUUGGCAGGGCAACGGAAAGAUGCACCGGACUUUGUGUGGACUUUGUAGGUGAAUCUGGGGUGUAUCUUUCUGGCACUGCUGAAUAUUAUUUUCUUUGUUAUUAAGUGGUACUUUGUUAGGCUAGCUGAUUUUUCGGAUUUUUAGCCUGUUGGUUUUCUAGAGGCAUGCUACUCUUUAAUUUAUCAUAGAAUCUAUUUGUAAACUUUGUUAUUAUAAAUAGAACUUUGUUAGUAUAAAUAGAACUUUGUUAGUAUUGGCAAAAUCAGUCAGUUUCAGAUAUUUCUCUAGUAGAUGGAGGUGAAUCUGGUUACAAGGAAAUACCCAAGUGUCAUUAUGUUGAGAAAGUGGUGUGAAGAUUGGUUAGCUAUUCCAGCUUGUGACAUGUCUGCAUUUUUGCUGAGUACUCACCCUACAAAUCAUCACGAUGCUCCCCAGGCAGGAGUCAAGGAAGCUUAUCUUCUGAGUCCAUUGUCUGAAUGGGAAUGUUGGUCUUACGCGAGUGUUGUACCUAUUAAUACUUCGUUUGAAGGAGAAACAGUAGCCUGUUCCAGCGAACUAGUAUAGAAGAUAACAAUAUUCGGACGGUUGUCUUGCUGGUUGCAACCAUACGUAAUUGUGUAUUUAGGGCUGUGCUUUCCCCUCCAAAGGAUAGAUUUUGUAGACCUUAAUGCUAGUGGCUAGUGGAUUAAUAAGUUCUUAUCCAUUAGAUGCGGUCGUGCACCAGUCAUUUUGUAGAGGUAUUAUGGCCAUUGAUGAAAGAAAAUAAUGGUAAAUAGUCGAGUUAUCAAGAAAUUAUUUUGUGUAUUCAUUGUAUAUACGACAAAUUCAUCAUCACCAUGAGACUCAUGCAACUCAUCAGCAAUUGUACUUCAUAAUUUUCCUGAGUUCAUCAGACAGACACCUUUGACUGUGAACACCAGGCUUAUUACAGUAGAGUUGAGAAUAAGCCUUGAGAAGAAUUUACAAGGGUGCCUGAAUUGCAAUGAAAACAGGCAUGUCUAUUUCAAGUUUCUGAAUACAUGCAAAGAGUGGAGUGACUUCACUAGCCAAGCAAAACUAGCAGGAAACCUUCAUUUGUAACUUGGUAG